rnacentral:misc_RNA from 1 species
GAAAUGCGAUAAGUAAUGUGAAUUGCAGAAUUCAGUGAAUCAUCGAAUCUUUGAACGCACAUUGCGCCCGCCAGUAUUCUGGCGGGCAUGCCUGUUCGAGCGUCAUUACAACCCUCAGGCCCCCGGGCCUGGCGUUGGGGAUCGGAGGAAGCCCCCUGCGGGCACAACGCCGUCCCCCAAAUACAGUGGCGGUCCCGCCGCAGCUUCCAUUGCGUAGUAGCUAACACCUCGCAACUGGAGAGCGGCGCGGCCACGCCGUAAAACACCCAACUUCUGAAUGUUGACCUCGAAUCAGGUAGGAAUACCCGCUGAACUUAAGC